rnacentral:rRNA from 1 species
GACGAACGCUGGCGGCGUGCCUAAUACAUGCAAGUAGAACGCUGAAGGAGGAGCUUGCUCUUCCGGAUGAGUUGCGAACGGGUGAGUAACGCGUAGGUAACCUGCCUGGUAGCGGGGGAUAACGAUUGGAAACGAUAGCUAAUACCGCAUAAGAGUAGAUGUUGCAUGACAUUUACUUAAAAGGUGCAAUUGCAUCACUACCAGAUGGACCUGCGUUGUAUUAGCUAGUUGGUGGGGUAACGGCUUACCAAGGCGACGAUACAUAGCCGACCUGAGAGGGUGAACGGCCACAAUGGGAAUGAGACACAGCCCAGACUCCUACGGGAGGCAGCAGUAGGGGAUCUUCGGAAAUGGGCGGAAGGCUGACCGAGGAACGCCGCGGGGGAGAAGGAGGGUCUCGGGUCGUAAAGCUCCGUUGUAAGAGAAGAACGAGUGUGAGGGUAGAAAGUUCACAUUGUGACGGUACCUUAACAGAAAGGGACGGCUAACUACGUG